rnacentral:lncRNA from 1 species
GAUUCUCCUGCCUCAGCCUUCUGAGUAGCUGAGACUACAGGUACUCACAACCAUGCCUGGCUAAUAUUUUUUUGGGGGUAUUUUUCUUUUAAGAGAGAUGGGGUUUUGUCACAUCGGCCAGACUGGUCUCAAGCUCCUGACCUCAAGUGUUCCUCCCACCUUGGCCUCCCAAAGUGCUGGGAUUACAGGCGUGAGCCACCACACCCGGUCAUCAUGUUAGAAUAAACCAAAGGGGCUCAGGUAAGGUAGCAGUCCCAGGAGUGGGCUGUGCAGAAAGAGGAAAAGACAUCUUUUGAGGAAGCAAGCAAAAAAUAAUUCUGAAUUAGUUUAUACUGGUCCAGAGGUUUGUUUUAGUGCCAGCAAUGGAGAUAUCAGUAAAAACUGAAUCCUAAUUAUAAUAAUA